GUCACAAUGCAUGUCAAGAAAACUGCAAACAUAAUUCACAAACUUAGAUCAUGACCAGUUCAAUGUUUUAGGAUCAACAUCACUAAAAUUUCGUAACUGUAACACAAUUAACGCUUACAUGAACUUAUCAUUCCGAAAAUGUUGCUUGACCCCAUUGAUAGUUGAAAGUGUUAACAACCUGUUCAGUCUAUUGUUUUCAAUCACAUGGUUUAACCAACUAACUAACAUGUUUAACCCCGCCACAUUAUUUAUGUAUGUUCCUUUCCCAAGUCAGGAGCCUGUAAUUCAGUGGUUGUCGUUUGGUUAUGUGUUACAUAUUUGUUUUUCGUUCAUUUUUCUUUUAUAUAAUAAGGCCGUUAUUUUCUCGUUUGAAUUGUUUUACAUUGUCUUAUCGGGGCCUUUUAUAGCUGACUAUGCGGUAUGGGCUUUGCUCAUUGUUGAAGGCCGUACGGCGACCUAUAAUUGUUAAUGUCUGCGUUAUUUUGGUCUCUUGUGGACAGUUGUCUCAUUGGCAAUCUUACCACAUCUUCUUUUUUAUAAUUCUAUUUGAAGUGAUGAUGCAAUGGCGGAAUUUAAAAACGGUUGCAAAUACGUCUACCGAC
rnacentral:lncRNA from 1 species